AUGGUGAAUCUAAUGAGGAUUCCUUUCUCCUUCAGUGUCUUUAGGGGUUUUCAGAAUGAUAGCUGACUGUACCAAAGGUAAAAUUUGCAAUGGAGCCUAAUUGAUACUUCAUGGCUCCUUUAGAAUCUUCUAAAGACAAAAGGUGAGUUAUUGGGGCUAGAGAGAUGCCUCAUUUGCUCUUCCAGAGGACCCAGGGUUAAAGUCCCAGCACUCAUGUGUGGGUUCACACCUGUCUAUAACUCCAGUCCUAAGGGAUCCACCAUCUUCUUUUCCUCCACUGGCACCAGGCAUGUAUGUGGUACACACGCAUACAUGCAGACAAAACAUGCAUACACUUAAGAAAAAAACUAUAGUGUAUAGAAAAGUGAGUUAUUGCUUUAUUCACAACUGGCCACAGGCAGCCUUGGAAAUGAGGUGUGGAAAUGGCUCUAAUCAGUUCAGCAGAAGAGCAUCUGAACACUGAGAGCCUCUAUGCUCUGCCUCCCUAUUCAGUUUCCUGAUGUGACUAUUUAAAGUGAGAGCCAUGUGGUAUCUUACAGGACACUGUUUUACCUUUCGUCAAGGUUGCCUAACACAUCUCCAUGAAGAAGUGUUGGGUUGUUAAAGUAGUGUUUGUAUUACUUUGUUGUUUCUUUAAAAGUCACUUAUUUGCUUUUACUGAAGUUAAAUGCUGGGGCAGGCAUCAUGAACACUUGUAAUCCUGUGGUAUCUAGGUAUUAAGUGUAGCAGAGAAUAAUAAAAAAGGAUUUAGCUUCCUACACGGGUGGGCCACAUGGCACCAGCAAGGUGUUCUCUGGGUAGACCUCUAACCCUUUGUUCACAAAAUGUUUCCACCCGACUAGCUAAGUUCCCAUGGCAGGUUGGUACCAUGCCAGCCCCACACAUCCAAAUUCCAAGUGCCCCGUACCUUUCUCUUGAACUCAGUUGAGUUGUCGCAUGAAGGAAAACACCUCACAAACUUAGUUUAGAAUUAACCUGUAACUCAAUCGCUGGGUGCCAACUACUAACAUCCUAAUUAGUAAGCCAUACUAAGUUAAAUCCUCCUGAGUUUGAGGCCAGCCUGGGUUACCUAGUUUUCCAGGCCAGCCCUUGGUUACAAUGUGAGACUCCAUCUCAAAAAACCAACCAACCAACCACAAGAAGAAGAAAAAAAAAAGGAAAGAAAGGCUGAGAUCAGUCUGAGCUUGGAUCUAUGUUGUCCCAGAACUUGGGAGGCUGAGGCACGAGGAGCAUGAUUUCCAGACUAGGCUAAGCCACAUAGUAGCAAGACCACCUUUAAAAAAAAAAUGUGUGUCUAUACACACACAUAUACCUGGCAGAAGAUAAAAUGAGGGAAAAGUCCAGACAGUAGUAUGCAAGCUUACUGCCUUUAGACAUCCUGCAGACACAGGGCAGAGCCUAGACUUUAGGCUCUCAUGGUCUCUAGAAUAUUAUGAGCAAAGCACAAUGAUCAGUUGUUCUCAUACUUGAGUGCAUCUGGAGAUAGUUCAUAGUUAUGGCAGUCAAUAUUUCUUACUGAAAAGCUUUCCUUUUGUGGCAACAUUUUUAUAGGUUGUGUGAAUUCCUUUUUUUUAAUGACAUAAUACAGUAUUUUUGCACAGUUGUAACCAUGUGUGAUGGUGUCACUAUAACCAAAGUACAUGCACCAGCCCUUGUGCAUUUAUUGUUCCCUCUGGUAUUGUGCACUUAAAAUGUCCAAAUACAAACCUUUGUGACUGUGAAGAAUCUGGCAGCACAGCAUGCCCGUGACCUGCCUGCUGCAGUGUGAGCUGUGACCAUAAGCAGGCCCUGUAAAGUCCUAAGUUGCUCUUAGGCGAGUGGGUACAUUAUAAAAACAAAUUGUGUAACAAUAAAUCUACCUAAGCUAAAAGAACGUUUGUUUUAUGUGAACUUGUACAGUAAAUAAAGUGGAAGUUAUCAGUAA